CUGUCUCUACUGACAAUAGGCAUUUUUGCUUACUAUUGACAGUUUGCAUAUGUGUUUCCACAUGUGCUUUCCUGAUUUUUCAGAUUAAUUCUAUCAAUGGCUUAAAAUCCUGCUGUGGUUCUCCUGAACUAUUCUGUUUUUCCCUGAGGACUCUGGUUCCUUCCUGUAUGGUCUGCUGUCUUUUGCUGUUUUACCUUUUUGCAUUGUAUGUCUGAAAGCUCCUGAAGAAACUUGUCGGAG